rnacentral:misc_RNA from 1 species
UUGUUUUAUAUAUUUUUAUUUUGUUGUUUCUUUUUUCUUAUGUUUGGUCUCCAACUAGACUUUGGAAAUGACUACAAUAUCAUUGAGUUAAAGCUCAUUAGUAUUUUGUUAGUUUGUUGCAGCUUAUACUAAUGUAAUGUUUGAAUAUUUUGUGUAUUUUAAAGUCAAGGUCUAUGGACAAACUCCACUAUUCCUCAAAAAAAAACAACAAAAUAAAAAUAUAUAAAACAA